UACAGGCAAUCCUGCAGAGUGGGAAUAAACAUUUGAGGCAUCAGGAGAUCAAGACUUUCUUCAUACCUAGGCUGCUCUUGAGAGACAAAACAUGAAGACUGUGAUUGUCGCCCUUUCGCUCGUGUUGAUUAUCGGCCACAGUGAAGCGUUGAAGUGCUACUGUGCAGGCAGGCGUGUUUGUCCAGGCGGUCAGGAGACAUGCCGUGGUUUCGAUGAUGUUUGUGCCAACAUCACAUAUACUGCUAACACCUCGGGUGCCCGCUUCCUCAAGGGUUGCCAUAUGAAAGCGUUUUGCAAAUUUUAUACCGACUCGCCAAUAUCGACUGGUACCUGCUGCACCACUGAUCUGUGCAACAGUUAAAUGGACGCCACGCAACACAUCCUCCAAUGAAUGAAGAAUCCACUGUAGAGUGUACAAAUAAAGUUUUUUUUUUUUAAUUCA